rnacentral:rRNA from 1 species
AGUGAACGCUGGCGGUAGGCCUAACACAUGCAAGUCGAACGGCAGCACAGUAAGAGCUUGCUCUUACGGGUGGCGAGUGGCGGACGGGUGAGGAAUACAUCGGAAUCUACUUUUUCGUGGGGGAUAACGUAGGGAAACUUACGCUAAUACCGCAUACGACCUACGGGUGAAAGCAGGGGAUCUUCGGACCUUGCGCGAUUGAAUGAGCCGAUGUCGGAUUAGCUAGUUGGCGGGGUAAAGGCCCACCAAGGCGACGACCCGUAGCUGGUCUGAGAGGAUGAUCAGCCACACUGGAACUGAGACACGGUCCAGACUCCUACGGGAGGCAGCAGUGGGGAAUAUUGGACAAUGGGCGCAAGCCUGAUCCAGCCAUACCGCGUGGGUGAAGAAGGGCUUCGGGUUGUAAAGCCCUUUUGUUGGGAAAGAAAAGCAGCAGGUUAAUACCCCGCUGUUCUGACGGUACCCAAAGAAUAAGCACCGGCUAACUUCGUG